UACGGAGGGUGCGAGCUGUUGUCCGGAAAUCACUGGGCGUAAAGGGCGCGUAGGCGGCCCGGCAAGUCACGUGGUGAAAGGCCCCGAGGCUCAACUUCGGGUCGGCCACUGAUAACUGCUAGGCUUGAGUCGACUAGAGGCAGAUGGAAUUCCGGGUGUAGCGGUGGGAAUGCGUAGAGAUCCGGAAGAACACCGGUGGCGAAGGCGGUCUGCUGGGGUCGAACUGACGCUGAAGGCGC
rnacentral:rRNA from 1 species